UACGACUACAUAUCAGGCAUAUCAAUAAGCGGAGGAAAAGAAACUAACUAGGAUUCCCUCAGUAACGGCGAGUGAAGCGGGAAGAGCUCAAAUUUGAAAUCUUCAAGGUUCUACCUUGACGAAUUGUAGUUUAAAGAAGUGUUUUCUGUUGGAGUUUUGGUAAAAGUUCUUUGGAAUAGGACAUCAUAGAGGGUGAGAAUCCCGUAUUUGACCAUUAUUUCCAGCUUUGUGAUACACUUUCAAAGAGUCGGAUUGUUUGGGAAUGCAGUCCAGAAUGGGUGGUAAAUUUCAUCUAAAGCUAAAUAUUGGCGAGAGACCGAUAGCGAACAAGUACCGUGAGGGAAAGAUGAAAAGAACUUUGAAAAGAGAGUUAAACAGUACGUGAAAUUGUCAAAAGGGAAGCGUUUGACACCAGUGUUGUUUUCUCGAAAAUCAAUUAAAAAAGGCAGGAUUUUGUGCUGUAUUGACUUUAUCAGCUUUCUGCACUCUUUUCUUGUCUUUUUUAAUGCACUUUACGUUUAACAAGUCAACAUCAAUUUCUUUUGUUGUAAAAGGGUCAUUGGAAGGUGGCUUUCUUUUCGGAGAAAGUGUUUAUAGCCUUUGGCCUCUGCAAUCGGAGAGAUUGAGGUCUGCAGCGUAGAUCCUUCGGGGUUAGAUACAUUUGUGCUAAGUUAUAGCCUUUCAUAGACAACUUGUUGACUAUGAUCAGUCAUGUAGCUUACUCGCUUAUGCUAUUUUACCUACGCUUAGGAUGUUGAGCGCAUGUCUCUCUCU
rnacentral:rRNA from 1 species